GAUGAACGCUGGCGGCGUGCUUAACACAUGCAAGUCGAACGGAAAGGCCAGUGCUUGCACUGGUGCUCGAGUGGCGAACGGGUGAGUAACACGUGGGUGAUCUGCCCUGCACUUUGGGAUAAGCCUGGGAAACUGGGUCUAAUACCAGAUAGGACCAUGCUUUGGAUGGUGUGGUGGAAAGUUUUUUCGGUGUGGGAUGGGCUUGCGGCCUAUCAGCUUGUUGGUGGGGUAAUGGCCUACCAAGGCGUCGACGGGUAGCCGGCCUGAGAGGGUGUACGGCCACAUUGGGACUGGGAUACGGCCCAGACUCCUACGGGAGGCAGCAGUGGGGAAUAUUGCACAAUGGGCGCAAGCCUGAUGCAGCGACGCCGCGUGGGGGAUGACGGCCUUCGGGUUGUAAACUCCUUUCGCAACUGACGAAGCUUUUUGUGACGGUAGGUUGAGAAGAAGCACCGGCUAACUACGUG
rnacentral:rRNA from 1 species